rnacentral:RNase_P_RNA from 1 species
UGAGAGGCCCGGGCGGCCGCUCUCGGGGCGAACGCGCCGCGAGGGAGGAAAGUCCGGGCUCCUCGGGUCAGGGUGGUUGCUAACAGCAACCGGUCGCGAGGCCAGGGAAAGUGCCACAGAGAAUAGACCGCCUGCACGGACCGCGUGUCCGCGCAGGUAAGGGUGAAACGGUGCGGUAAGAGCGCACCGCGGUCCUGGUGACAGGAUUGGCAGGGCAAACCCCACCCGGAGAAAGACCAAAUAGGGGGGCGUGUGAGACCCGCACGAAGCGCCCCCGGGUAGGUCGUUCGAGGCCGAGCGCGAGUUCGGUCCCAGAGAAAUGGCCGCCCCCCUUCGCAAGGAGGGGACAAAACCCGGCUUACAGGGCCUCUCACGCG